UAAUCCAGCGAGAAAACGUCCUUACGUUCAGGUGAGGAUUCUCACUCCACCCACCUGCUGCACGACAGUUAGCGUUCCCUCCUGAUGGUAUAACGACUUACUAUUCUGGUAGCUAUUCUGGUACACAUUAUUUAUUAAUCAUAAUCAUUAUUGUUAUGAUUGUUCAAGAAUGAAGAUGGGACCUAUGAAUUAAGAAUAGCAUCAUCUCUUACUAAUGGUUAGUGUAUCAAUAGAAGCCCAUGCACCCAUCUCUCACCUCAUUUCUGUCUCUCAUUAUUACACACUAGAAUAUUGUAAAACAUUAAAAGCACAAGCCUAAGCAAGCUAUAGAUUAUGUGUUGUAUGAUUAAAGUAAUUACACAUGUCUAAAUACAGUAGAUAUUGAUGCAGCCAUCUUGCUUAAAUUUCUCUAUCACUGACUUCAUCAUAGCUAGCACUUAAGCCUGCAGCAAUUGCUUAUAGCACACAAGUCUAAGAUAAGUCAGAAGCAGUCACUGAGCAAAGAAGAUUGUAGAUCUGCUUUGUUAACCUAGGCUUGCUGCUAGAGAAGAAUCAUCACCUAGACUAGAUCUCAUGAGUCAUGCAGGUAGCUACAUGCAGCUUUCUCACCUUAUCAGACUCCUGUAUAUGAA